UGAGUAACACGUGAGUAACCUGCCCCUGACUCUGGGAUAAGCGUUGGAAACGACGUCUAAUACUGGAUAUGAUCACUGGCCGCAUGGUCUGGUGGUGGAAAGAUUUUUUGGUUGGGGAUGGACUCGCGGCCUAUCAGCUUGUUGGUGAGGUAAUGGCUCACCAAGGCGACGACGGGUAGCCGGCCUGAGAGGGUGACCGGCCACACUGGGACUGAGACACGGCCCAGACUCCUACGGGAGGCAGCAGUGGGGAAUAUUGCACAAUGGGCGAAAGCCUGAUGCAGCAACGCCGCGUGAGGGAUGACGGCCUUCGGGUUGUAAACCUCUUUUAGUAGGGAAGAAGCGAAAGUGACGGUACCUGCAGAAAAAGCACCGGCUAACUACGUGCCAGCAGCCGCGGUAAUACGUAGGGUGCAAGCGUUGUCCGGAAUUAUUGGGCGUAAAGAGCUCGUAGGCGGUUUGUCGCGUCUGCUGUGAAAUCCCGAGGCUCAACCUCGGGC
rnacentral:rRNA from 1 species